rnacentral:lncRNA from 1 species
CGAUUUACCUUUCCACUGCAAGGGCCUCUGCAUCUGCUCGGCUACCUGACCAUACUCGCCGGAACUCUGACCCUGGCUGGAGCCUGUAGCGUCCAGAACGACAUCUUGCGGCGAUUCUGCGAUGUCCACCAGGAACAUGUCAGGAUCAAAGUGAUCCUGGCUCGAGGAAGCGAAGCCAUGGAGAGACGGCUGGACGGUGUACGCGUCCAGUGACGAGGAGAGGUUCACGUGGCCGAAGCCGCUAGACGAUGCAACGCCCCAGCCAGUUCCGGUCCGGGCAUGUUGCCCCAGCAUCGCCGUGUUACCGAGAGGCCUGAACGCGGCGGCGGGAGCAAGGACCUGGCUGCGG